CCUACGGGGGGCAGCAGUGGGGAAUAUUGGACAAUGGGGGCAACCCUGAUCCAGCCAUGCCGCGUGUGUGAAGAAGGCCCUCGGGUUGUAAAGCACUUUCAGUGAGGAAGAACGCCUGGUGGUUAAUACCCAUCAGGAAAGACAUCACUCACAGAAGAAGUACCGGCUAACUCCGUGCCAGCAGCCGCGGUAAUACGGAGGGUGCGAGCGUUAAUCGGAAUUACUGGGCGUAAAGCGCGCGUAGGUGGCUUGAUAAGCCGGUUGUGAAAGCCCCGGGCUCAACCUGGGAACGGCAUCCGGAACUGUCAAGCUAGAGUGCAGGAGAGGAAGGUAGAAUUCCCGGUGUAGCGGUGAAAUGCGUAGAGAUCGGGAGGAAUACCAGUGGCGAAGGCGGCCUUCUGGACUGACACUGACACUGAGGUGCGAAAGCGUGGGUAGCAAACAGGAUUAGAUACCCUAGUAGUC
rnacentral:rRNA from 1 species